rnacentral:rRNA from 1 species
GACGAACGCUGGCGGCGUGCUUAACACAUGCAAGUCGAACGGAAGGCCCUGCUUUUGUGGGGUGCUCGAGUGGCGAACGGGUGAGUAACACGUGAGUAACCUGCCCUUGACUUUGGGAUAACUUCAGGAAACUGGGGCUAAUACCGGAUAGGAGCUCCUGCUGCAUGGUGGGGGUUGGAAAGUUUCGGCGGUUGGGGAUGGACUCGCGGCUUAUCAGCUUGUUGGUGGGGUAGUGGCUUACCAAGGCUUUGACGGGUAGCCGGCCUGAGAGGGUGACCGGCCACAUUGGGACUGGGAUACGGCCCAGACGCCUACGGGAGGCAGCAGUGGGGAAUAUUGCACAAUGGGCGGAAGCCUGAUGGAGGAACGCCGCGUGCGGGAUGACGGCCUUCGGGUUGGAAACCGCUUUCGCCUGUGACGAAGCGUGAGUGACGGUAAUGGGUAAAGAAGCACCGGCUAACUACGU